CCUACGGGUGGCAGCAGUGGGGAAUCUUCCGCAAUGGGCGAAAGCCUGACGGAGCAACGCCGCGUGAUCGAAUGAAGGCCUUCGGGUUGUAAAGAUCUGUUGACAGGGACGAAUAAGCAAUGCGAAUAGUUUUGUGUAUGACGGUACCUGUGUAGAAAGCUCCGGCUAACUACGUGCCAGCAGCCGCGGUAAUAAGAAGGGAGCAAGCGUUGUACGGAAUUACUGGGCGUAAAGGGCGCGUAGGUGGCACGGCAAGCCUGAUGGUAAAGCCCGGGGCCACACCGCGGGACUGCAUUGGGAACUACCGGGCUGGAGUGCCGGAGAGGUAGGCGGAAUGCCAUGUGUAGCGGUGAAAUGCGUAGAUAUUAGGAGGAACACCAGUGGCGAAGGCGGCCUACUGGACGUUGACUGACGCUGAGGCUCGAAAGCGUGGGGAGCAAACAGGAUUAGAUACCCCAGUAGUC
rnacentral:rRNA from 1 species